rnacentral:lncRNA from 1 species
CCCCCUCUAAUUCCUCCCCAUCCACUUCUCCUCUAUAGUAGCUCCUUCCUUCUUAACCCGUUUCUCACCAACAAUCCCUCUUUCCUCUCCUCUUUUUUCUCACUAAUUUCUCAUCUUCCUCCACCUCCUCCUAACUUGCAAUGAGCUCUUCUCCUCUAUGGUGGCUCCCUCCACCUUCAAUCAUUCUUUGUUGAUGACCUUUCUAUCCUCCUCUUC